rnacentral:rRNA from 1 species
CACGUAGGGUGCGAGCGUUGUCCGGAAUUAUUGGGCGUAAAGAGCUCGUAGGCGGUGUGUCGCGUCGGCCGUGAAAACUUGCAGCUUAACUGUGGGCGUGCGGUCGAUACGGGCAUCACUGGAGUUCGGCAGGGGAGACUGGAAUUCCUGGUGUAGCGGUGGAAUGCGCAGAUAUCAGGAGGAACACCGGUGGCGAAGGCGGAUCUCUGGGCCAUAACUGACGCUGAGGAGCGAAAGCAUGGGGAGCGAACAGG